UACGUAGGGUGCAAGCGUUAAUCGGAAUUACUGGGCGUAAAGCGUGCGCAGGCGGUUUGGUAGGUCCGCUGUGAAAACUCGAGGCUCAACCUCGAGACGCCGGUGGAAACCAUCAGGCUAGAGUCCGGAAGAGGAGAGUGGAAUUCCUGGUGUAGCGGUGAAAUGCGCAGAUAUCAGGAAGAACACCCGUGGCUAAGGCGGCUCUCUAGUACGGUACUGACGCUGAGACGCGAAAGCGUGGGGAGCGAACAGG
rnacentral:rRNA from 1 species